UGCGAGUUUAGGGGCUCUUCGGAGCACCGGCGGACGGCUCAGUAACACGUGGACAACCUACCCUCGGGUGGGGGAUAACCUCGGAAAACUGAGGCUAAUACCCCAUAGACCUCGGAUACUGGAAGGUUCCGAGGCCGAAAGCUCCGGCGCCCGAGGAUGGGUCUGCGACCUAUCAGGUAGUUGGUGGUGUAAAGGACCACCAAGCCUGCGACGGGUACGGGCCCUGAGAGGGGGAGCCCGGAGAUGGACUCUGAGACACGAGUCCAGGCCCUACGGGGCGCAGCAGGCGCGAAACCUUCGCAAUGUGCGAAAGCGCGACGAGGGGAGCCCGAGUGCCCUUCCUUCGGGGAGGGCUUUUCUGGAGCCUAAAAAGCUCCAGGAAUAAGGGCUGGGCAAGACGGGUGCCAGCCGCCGCGGUAAUACCCGCAGCUCAAGUGGUGGCCGCUUUUAUUGAGCCUAAAGCGUCCGUAGCCGGACCCGUAAAUCCCUGGGUAAAUCCUG
rnacentral:rRNA from 1 species